AGCUGCCAGUUCCCAAGCGAGUGAUACUGCUGAUAAAGUGUGGCUUUGACAGGGAAGAAGGUGAAGAAACUAGGAAACCACGAAGAGCAGUGAUGUUUGCAGGGCUGAAGCACACUGAGGAUUCUUCCCAUCCAGGGACCGAAGUGUCUGAUACGAUGGAUGGACUGGUUUCCUGGAUUGCCAAAGGGAGAGAGAGAGAGAGAGAGAGAGAGAGAAGGAGAGAGAGAGAGAG